rnacentral:rRNA from 1 species
CCUACGGGAGGCAGCAGUGAGGAAUAUUGGUCAAUGGCCGCAAGGCUGAACCAGCCAAGCCGCGUGAAGGAAGACGGCUCUAUGCAUUGUAAACUUCUUUUGUAAGGGGAUAAAAUCAGGUACGUGUACCUGUCUGAAAGUACCUUACGAAUAAGGAUCGGCUAACUCCGUGCCAGCAGCCGCGGUAAUACGGAGGAUUCGAGCGUUAUCCGGAUUUAUUGGGUUUAAAGGGUGCGUAGGCGGGCUGUUAAGUUAGCGGUGAAAGCCCGGGGCUCAACCUCGGAAGUGCAUCUGAUACUGGCAGGCUUGAGAGGAGGUGAGGUAUGCGGAAGGUAUGGUGUAGCGGUGAAAUGCUUAGAUAUUACGCAGAACUCCGAUUGCGAAGGCAGCUUAC